UUAGUUGUGUGCGCGGCCCAACACGAAGAUCGUGCGCCGUCCCGAGACUGCGGAAGCCGAAGAACCGUUCUGCCAACAGACAGUACAGUCGUAGAACUGGCCUAAGCGACGAUAGUUCCAGUAGAGGAGCUAUCGAGGGGGGGAGGGGGUUUAGCCGGGACGGGACCCUGCCACUACUCAGGAGACUUACGAAUACGAAAAUCAAUACCACACAACAGCAGCUGAAACUUCUGGCUUGGGUGUUGAUAUUCGUAGUAGUAAGCAACCAGAGAAAACUCACGUUCUCGGUUUUAAAAAAAAAAAAAAAAAAAGGAAAACUUGCGACAUCGUCUUCUAAAUCAAACGGCUGAGUAUCUAACAAUUUGUUUUCCCUAAAAAUCUGUGUAUCACUUGCAAAAAUCUAGUCAGUCUGCGACAUUCACUGUUUACCUUUUUAUGUUCUCACUGUACUCUACGCUUCGCACAAAUAAUCGAAAGGCCGUUUGUUAUUACAGCCGCUUUAACUGCAUUUCAGGAUUAAUAUUGCGAAUCCAUAUCAGUUCUUUUGUCAUUUUUGGCAUCCUUGAUGGAUCCUACCAUACGUUGCAAAUCCUUCUUCGAUUGUUGGUACUGUGGCACCACUCUAAGGUGGCGUUUUCCAUGACAAAGACUAACGAUGAAUCCUAUCCUUUUAACUUUGAAAAAUCCUGAAAUCUUUUUUUUUUUUCUUUUCUUUUGCCAUCGGUUUUCUUAUUAUUCGUCGCGUUUCCAGGGUGAAGGAAGUGGAGCGGCCUCAAGUGAGGAAAGGCCCAAUGAGCUACAAUCCUGGGGAUUUCGAAAGCCAGUUGGCCGUCGACCGUCCAACCAAGUGGAACUAUGGAACUCUUUCUGAAAAGAUCGACCUUUUUUGUCAGUGAGUGAGUGAAAAAGAGAGCGCGUGAGUGAGCGUGUUGGCCGCUUCUAGGUGGUGCGCAAACCACAGCCAGAAUCUGAAAAUAGUUUCCACCCAACCAGGAACUGGCAUUCAAGGAGCAUACACAACACAAACUGGUUGCUUCAACCAUCACCAAGCCAACGAACCUUUAGGAAUAUUUUGAACGCGUAAAACCUGUAAAUCCCGCCAUGAUAAUACCGGAUGCAUACCAAUAACGUAUCGGCUGCAACCGGCCCGCAAACUCAACGGAUGGGCCAAAAGAAAGUCAAGAAAUCGAUUUCUAGCCAGAAAUGGAUGACAGAUGAUGUUCGUUGCGGUUACGUACUGCAUGGCCGCCAACGGGUUAGGAGAGCCUGAUCAACUACUUUGGGCUGACUACGUUGUAUAUAUUUACUUCAUCUAUCCUUUUUCUCUCUCUCUCUCUUAAGUUUUUCGUCUUGCCAGUCUGUGUGUACAUUGCUCGCUUUGGCUGCGUGUGAGUGUGUGUGUACGUGUGUGUGAGCGCUGACUUCUAUUUCCAUCCGGCAGAUUCCACCUCCGCCAGCCAAAAAAAUCCUGGGUCAGCCCGACAAUCUUAACCAAUGUCAGCUAACCACCGAAAAAGGGAGCGCGCAAGAAGAAGAAACAAAAGGAG
rnacentral:lncRNA from 1 species